GGCAGCGCGUUCCCUCCGGUGCCUGGCGCCCGAGCCGGCGGAGCUCGCGCUGCUACCUGUGACCGUUGGUCCGCCUUUUGUUUCCAAUUUCCUGACUUGCUGUCACUUGAAAAUAAACUUAAGAAUGUAAGAACAGCCAUACUGUGUCAGACCAAAGGUCCAUCUAGACCAGUAUCCUGUCCUCUGACAGUGGCCAAUGCCAGGUGCCCCAGAGGGAAUGAACAGAACAGAAUUAGUUCUCACUUGAUUGGAGGCAGUUCCUCCACUCCCCGAGAGUAUUUUUCAGCUGCAGAGGGAAGAAGUGAAGAUCUACCUGUUCCAGGCUGUGAGUGU